GGGGUCGACUGGUUUUGACAGCGAGUGGAAUUAAUCAGUAAGCAUGUUGAGCAUUGAGGUGUUGCUCAUUAAUAUAAUGUCUCAAACUUUUAAACGGCGAAAAUAAUUACGCUUUAGCUGCUUAAUCCGAAUUAUAGUACGAUUUGCCUAGUCCCGACCAGGUCGGGAAGCUAGAUUCUCCUCAAAAGCCUUGGUUUAUGGCGGUUGAUUUAGGGGAACCGUAAAAGUAAACCUAGAGAAGGUAAUGCUUUAAAUCCUUCUUGACACUUAUAAAGCUAAGCAUGAGGUUGCUGUUCUUGGCAUCGCCUUUUGUCGAAAAUCUAAUCAAGAACUAAACAUGUAGAAAGCUUUUUGAUUGCUUGUUUGGACGAGAGUUCGAUUCUCUCCGACUCCACAA
rnacentral:tmRNA from 1 species